CUGUGCUAUCUUUGCAGCGGUG
rnacentral:misc_RNA from 1 species